AUACUCUCCUGGCAGGGGCAAUACCAUGAUCCAGGAAGGUGGUUUGCCCCAAGCGAGGCUCGGCCAUUGCACUUGGGCUGUGCCGACCUCUGCGAAAUGCUGGAAUCUCGACUAAAAUUUUCUGAUAGUGUGGGACUGCGUCUGUGCUCUAUUCUUUC